rnacentral:rRNA from 1 species
CCCUACGGGGGGCUGCAGUGGGGAAUUUUGGACAAUGGGGGCAACCCUGAUCCAGCCAUGCCGCGUGCAGGAUGAAGGCCUUCGGGUUGUAAACUGCUUUUGUCAGGGACGAAAAGGACCGUGUUAAUACCAUGGUCUGCUGACGGUACCUGAAGAAUAAGCACCGGCUAACUACGUGCCAGCAGCCGCGGUAAUACGUAGGGUGCAAGCGUUAAUCGGAAUUACUGGGCGUAAAGCGUGCGCAGGCGGUUCUGUAAGACAGAUGUGAAAUCCCCGGGCUCAACCUGGGAAUUGCAUUUGUGACUGCAGGACUAGAGUUCAUCAGAGGGGGGUGGAAUUCCAAGUGUAGCAGUGAAAUGCGUAGAUAUUUGGAAGAACACCAAUGGCGAAGGCAGCCCCCUGGGAUGCGACUGACGCUCAUGCACGAAAGCGUGGGGAGCAAACAGGAUUAGAUACCCCUGUAGUC